rnacentral:rRNA from 1 species
GAUGAACGCUGGCGGCGUGCCUAAUACAUGCAAGUCGAGCGAACGGACGAGAAGCUUGCUUCUCUGAUGUUAGCGGCGGACGGGUGAGUAACACGUGGAUAACCUACCUAUAAGACUGGGAUAACUUCGGGAAACCGGAGCUAAUACCGGAUAAUAUUUUGAACCGCAUGGUUCAAAAGUGAAAGACGGUCUUGCUGUCACUUAUAGAUGGAUCCGCGCUGCAUUAGCUAGUUGGUAAGGUAACGGCUUACCAAGGCAACGAUGCAUAGCCGACCUGAGAGGGUGAUCGGCCACACUGGAACUGAGACACGGUCCAGACUCCUACGGGAGGCAGCAGUAGGGAAUCUUCCGCGAUGGGCGAAAGCCUGCCGGAGCAACGCCGCGUGAAUGCUGAAGGUCUUCGGAUCGUAAAACUCUGUUAUUAGGGGAGAACAUAUGUGUAAGUAACUGUGCACAUCUUGACGGUACCUAAUCAGAAAGCCCCGGCUAACUACGUG